GGAAGUUUUGCUGGCCUUCAGUCUGACGGACCCGGUACUCCUUCCUGACAUCAAACAGAGCUGAAAAACGUCUUCUAAGAAAUCUGCCAAGUNUGCUGACUCUGCAGACCCAAAGACCUGUGGGGGUGUUCUUCACUAUGAUGCCCGAUUGAUAGGGCAAAAGGCUCUGGGCAG
rnacentral:lncRNA from 1 species